GACAGUGUGUAUGGUUGGUGCUCGGCCCAGGACAGGAGAGACACCUGGUCCAACAAGGUGAUGGACAGUUGAAAGGACAAACCACCAAGAGGAGCCGAACAAAUGAGCCGCCACUGGAUCCUGAAGGGAAAGUAACGAGAGGAGCCAGGAGUUGAAAGUGUGGGCAGAGGAAUGGGCUGAUGAGGACGAAUUUGACAACAGCUUCCUGAACUGAAUCCCGAUUUCCUGUAAUCAAGUUUUGUGGACUGACAUAUUGUCUGGUUGGUGCUUGGGCCAGGAGAGGAAGGCUCUGUAGCGGGUGAUCCAUCAAUCCACAGAGCAUCGGUGACAGAGGAGAGGUGAAGUGUCUGCUCAGAGCUCAAAGAAAAAUGAAAAAGGCUUAAAGAACCAGAAGUAACCGCUGAUGUAGCUUCUGUCCUCUGUGAGACUCCCGAACAUAAAAAUAUUUUGAACAUCAUAAAAAAAAAAACAUGAAAAUAGACUGCUUUGGC